AUCCUAAACUCUAGGAUAAAUCCUUAACUCUAAAUCAAAAUCACUAUACACUAAAACAUUCAAGCGUUUAGGGUUUAGGGUUUUAGUCGUUUUUUAUUUAGAGUUUAGGAUUUAUCCAAGGGUUUAGGGUUUACCCAAGGGUUUAGGGUUUACCCAGGGGUUUAGGGUUUAGGGAUUAAGAUUUAGGGUUUAGUGUUUUGUUGACAACAUUAAAAAUAUAUAUUUUUUUUAAUUCUUUUUUCUGUAACUAUUAUAUUUUUUUACUUUUUUAUUUUAAAAACAUAAUAUAAUUUGAGAAUAUUUUGUUUCCUUUUUUAAAAGAUAUCGAAUUUGAAAUAAUGAAAUUUUAUUGGUUGGUGAACCUAGAGGUUGUGAACCCAAGAAUGACUCAUUAAUAAUGUUGGAACUUUAAAACUUUAUUAAUUUAUAGAGAUAUUAAUUUAUAAAAUUUCCUUAUUUAGAUUCUAUAUUUUAAGAUAUAUUUAUUCUAAGGUAAGAACAUUAUUUGAUUCUAGUGUAUAUACAUUAAUUGUUAUUUUAUGAAAUUUUACAUUUAUAUUAAUUUUAUUAUAUUAUUUGGUGUAUAUAAUAUAUAUUGCAUAUAACUUAAAUUUGGUUUUAGAUAUAAUAUUACUAAAUCUCAUUAAAUAUAUUAAGUGUUAAGAAAAGAUAAAGAUAAUUCUAUUGAGAAUAAAAAAAAUAAUAAUAUGUUCUUACUUAUAUAAAAUA
rnacentral:lncRNA from 1 species